rnacentral:rRNA from 1 species
GAUGAAAGCUGGCGGCGUGCCUAAUACAUGCAAGUCGAGCGAACGGACGAGAAGCUUGCUUCUCUGAGGUUAGCGGCGGAAGGGUGAGUAACACGUGGAUAACCUACCUAUAAGACGGGGAGAACUUCGGGAAACCGGAGCUAAUACCGGAUAAUAUUUUGAACCGAAUGGUGAAAAAGUGAAAGACGGUCUUGCUGUCACGUAUAGAUGGAUCCGCGCUGCAUUAGCUAGUUUGUAAGGUAACGGCUUACCAAGGCAACGAUGCCUAGCCGACCUGAGAGGGUGAUCAGCCACACUGGAACUGAGACACGGUCCAUACUCCUACUGGCGGCAGCAGUAGGGAAUCUUCCGCAAAGGGCGAAAGCCUGACGGAGCAACGCCGCGUGAGUGAUGAAGGUCUUCUGAUCGUAAAACUCUGUUAUUAGGGAAGAACAUAUGUGUAAGUAACUGUGCACAUCUUGACGGUACCUAAUCAGAAAGCCACGGCUAACUACGUG